GUUUUUAAUUCGAUUUGCCUAAUAAUAUUUGACAGAAAAGAAGCCCUAAUAUAGGCUAAAACAGUACUUUAGGUCUAGAGAGGAAAGGCAAAACGGGUUGGUUGAGUAAGCAUAAGAGAGAUUGCAUUGCUCGUGCAAAUUUCCUUUAAUUUACAUGAGCCUGACUCAUGUAACUUUGUGUCUCACUUUGGCUCUUGUUUUCAAGAUUGCACGGCUGUGCACAGGAAGCACCUACUGUGUAAUUUAAAAGCUGGGGUUCCACGGCCAGAGACAUGGGGCCGCGCAACUGAUUGUGCAACUUCCUGCUUUUUCUUAUAAUUUAACGUUUUCCUCUUUUCUUCAACAAGCAAUUUGACCUCUAAUUCAACAUGCUUCUCUUCCCCACUCAUAUCCAUGACCUCUAAAGCUUGUAAAUGAAUGAAAGUAAGAAAUUAACCAUUAAAUGCAAAAUUAUAGAAAGAAUGUAAAUGAAUGAAAAGCAUAGGAAAAUGUAUGUAAAAUAGCUAUUUAAGGGGCAGAAAAAAUGUCAAACAUGUCAUAAAUGUCUAUAUAAAAUGAAUGCAUUACCAUCUAAUAAAAUAACACAAUAAAAAAAAAUACUUAGAAAGGCUCUACAGCAAAGAGAACUAAAGAGAGACACCUCCAUGAAAGAAGUCAAAACACCAAUAAAACCUCAUCAAAGGGAACUAAACACUCUAGAUCUAUCAACAUGCAUAGAUCAGAGGAAUAAACCCAAAAUCCAUUUUAAAUGAAUCCAAAUCUAAGAAUUAUUUGAAGAAAAUACAAA
rnacentral:misc_RNA from 1 species